AUACGUAGGUGACAAGCGUUAUCCGGAUUUACUGGGCGUAAAGGGCGUGUAGGCGGUCUUGCAAGUCAGAAGUGAAAUUCCUGAGCUCAACUCGGGCGCUGCUUCUGAAACUGCAGGACUUGAGUGCUGGAGGGGAUAGCGGAAUUCCUGGUGGAGCGGUAAAAUGCGCAGAUAUUAGGAAGAACACCGGUGGCGAAGGCGGCUAGCUGGACAGUAACUGACGCUGAGGCGCGAAAGCGUGGGGAGCAAACAGGAUGAGAUACCCUGUUAGUCCCCGCCGUAAACGAUGAAUACUAGGUGUAGGGGGUAUCGACUCCCUCUGUGCCGCAGUUAACACAAUAAGUAUUCCGCCUGGGGAGUACGGCCGCAAGGUUGAAACUCAAAUGAAUUGACGGGG
rnacentral:rRNA from 1 species